rnacentral:tRNA from 1 species
GGGUAUAGCUCAGUGGUAGAGUGUGUGCUUAGCAUGCACGAGGUCCUGGGUUCAAUCCCCAGUACCUCCA